rnacentral:lncRNA from 1 species
GCCUAUGAUGCGGAUAGCAAGAUUGUAUCAGAUAGACUAUCCGUUUUGAUGUAUGCUGCCAUAGAAAAUGAUACGUAUGUCCAACAUAAUGCUUAUAUCAAAUGUACGUAUAAGGGUUGGAAUGAUCUGGUCAUGAAAUUCUUGUGUGAUAAACCUACUGAUCAAAUGUUAGCUGAAGUAUAUACACAUGACAUGUCCGACGGUAAAACAGUCACCAUCGGGGAAAUGGGUAAAUACUUCAGCUAACAUUUGAUCAGUAGGUUUAUCACACAAGAAUUUCAUGACCAGAUCAUUCCAACCCUUAUACGUACAUUUGAUAUAAGCAUUAUGUUGGACAUACGUAUCAUUUUCUAUGGCAGCAUACAUCAAAACGGAUAGUCUAUCUGAUACAAUCUUGCUAUCCGCAUCAUAGGCAUAAGAAAACAACACACCCAUUAUAAACGCCACCCACCACCACCAGGCUUUGGUUUGCAAAAUGACAAUGUAGGACGCCACAUUUGUAUGGCUUCAUGUAUCAGAAGCAGAUGUUCAUCGGACACACCUUCGGUGGUCAAUGAAUCCAGUUUUUCGGUAUUAUAGGUAUUGCAUAUUAAAUCACAUAGAUAAGAUUCGACCACACCAUAGAUUUUUCCGGGGGACACAGUCAACCCUGUAGUCUUCUUUAGAACAGUUUCUAAAAGUAACAGGAAGGGGUGUCUGUCCAGGAUGACACAAAUGUCAUGGUAGUGGGAUUCGUAGUGAUGAUGUGUCGCUCCCUGCAGGCAUGAAUGGCGUCGUUGACUUGGGCAAUCACACUGGCAUCCCCAGCAGUCCGCUUGCUUCUGAUGGUUGAUGAUGGCCACCACACAGACCCCCGUGGUAAAUCGCAGAACAGCCAGCGAUGCAGGGUUUAAACGGAUCUGUAUUGAUACAGGCCAUCCGUCGUCUCUCACAGCAGUGUCCACCUCCAGCUCACUGUCCUCUCCGAUGUGUAGGAAGGUCAGAUUCAAUCCGGUCAGAUAGACGGCAUACUCUUGAAGCCAGUGGGGUCCGGGUUGCACAGCCUUUAAAUCAGCAGUCUCCAUAGCCACACCCCCACCUUGAACAUGUUCAUCAUUGACCUGUGCUGCAUAGCGUAUCAAAAAUAUACCAUUAGAAUAUGAAAAUAAAAAACACACACAACACCCACAUAUUAAAAUAAGGUAUAGCCUAUCAAAAACACAUUUAAAAAGGAAAAUAAAACACCCUUAAUACUACUAGUAUGUACCCUCCACCUUCUUAUACAUUGCGGACAUUUUCUAAUGCUAGCAUAACCCUAAACAUACUCAAACACACCAUGUACCCCAUCAUCAAACCCAGACGACUCAAACAGGCACAUUUGGCAUUCAUCGUCAGUUGUGCUCCAUGGUUCUUCAUUCGUCUUAGCCAAAGAAUCAAUCUCUGCAAAAAUUCCACGUAGUGCAGACAGAUCAGCCCACUGCAUGAAAAAGACAUUAUCAAAAUAAUCAGCAGCUUCUAAAACACUGGCGCGUAGAGGAGAGCUACCGAUGCAAUGCAUAUCAUAGCACUGUGGUAGCUCGUCUGUAUCAACACCGCGUCUGAAAAAAAUGAACUCCUGUGGUCUCUUCGUAUGAUAGUUUGCAUCCAUGCGAUGAAUCCUCGAUUCAUACUGAAAGGUGCAUGCCAAACGAUGUUGAAUCCUCGAUUCAUACUGAAAGGUCCAACGGUAUUCAUGGGGUCCCCCAUGCCAUGUACCCUCGCCGCCGUCUAGCAUGGGGCAUAAAUUCUCCAAGAAAAAAUUCCACUCGUGAACGUUCAUCCGCCACUCUGUAGCACAAUCUUUAACUUUCAAAAUAACACAGCCAUCGACCCAUGAUAUUACAUACUCCAAGCCGUAUUCACCAACGUGGGUGAAUGAAUCCCCGGCACUCCGGUCUCUCAAGCCUAAAACAGGCCUCGUUCUUUUGAGUGGAGCAUUAAGCAGUACCGCAUCUCCACAACUAUCGGCAUAGUUAGACACAGGCGUACUAAAGACGGACAUACCAUCAGGCAUCUGGUUUUCAAUUUCCUCAUUGCUCGACACAGAGUCGUCCAUGGCGGGGGAAGACAAUGGCGACGGGGUACGAGGGCCCCUAUACAACCAAUAAGGACUAUCUGAUCUAUGGGUUUCUUCUGAUGAGCAGUCCAUGUUGAUUGAAAAGAAUACUGCAGACAACUUGAUGAAUGCGGGGACCCUACAGCAGCCGUCGCCCCCUUUUUAUACUAUGUUUACGACCCGUCAUAAAUCAUAAACAGGAAGUGUCUGUCUAUACAGAUCCCGCACCCCAGCGACCCCUGCAGGUUCACCACUGGCAUUACACCUGUCAUCCCUACACAAUGGAUUUUAUGACCCGUCAUAAAUCAUAAACAGGAAGUGGCUCUUGUGAAUAGGGAUACCCCCCUCCACCCCCACCCUCCCCAACCGGAAGUGUGUUCAGAUCGGAAUGGGCCCAAACAGCAUAUGAUAUCAACUACUCAGGUACAUGCAGAGUGUAGGGAUCCUGCUUCAGCAGCCAUUUCUUGAUAUAUUUCAGAGGAGGUACUGCACCCUCA